rnacentral:rRNA from 1 species
AUGAAGUUCUACAAGACAGAGGGUUUAACCCAUUAUUCAUCAGCUAAGCUCCUUAUUACAAGCGAUGUCCUUGAGGGUUGUGUAAUUAUAGGAGAGCCCAUACCCAUCACCAAUCUCUUCACACGCCUUUGGUUCAAUGAAGUUGAUCGUCCCACCUCAAGAGAUCAGCUAAGCUUUAGCACAACGAGGGAUAAAAUAAGAUCAAGAGUUCUUUUUGACAACUAA